UACCAGCUCUCCGAGUGGUGUGGAUGUUUAUUGGGCCUAAAGCAUCCGUAGCUGGCUAAGUMAGUCCCUUGUUAAAUCCACCGAAUUAAUCGUUGGAUUGCGGGGGAUACUGCUUGGCUAGGGGACGAGAGAGGCAGACGGUAUUUUCGGGGUAGGGGUGAAAUCCUAUAAUCCCGGGAAGACCACCAGUGGCGAAGGCUGUCUGCUAGAACGCGCCCGACGGUGAGGGAUGAAAGCUGGGGGAGCGAACCGGAUUAGAUACCCGGGUAGUCCCAGCUGUAAACGAUGCAGACUAGGUGUUUGGACGGCCACGUGCCGUUCUAGUGCCGCAGGGAAGCUGUUAAGUCUGCCGCCUGGGGAGUACGAUCGCAAGAUUGAAACUUAA
rnacentral:rRNA from 1 species